UGUGUUUUAUCAAUCAUGCCGCCGGCCGACAAUCAGGGCUCCUUCCUCAACCGCAUCAGCAUCCGCCGGAAUCAGUUCUCCGUCGUCGAGGCCGUCAAUGACCAGGAGCUGGAAGACCUCGAACUCCUGCAGAAACACGUCGCCGAUCGGUUCUCCGAGCUUCUUACAACCAACGACGAUUCUCCGGCGGAGGAGAAAUCUGUCCGGCCGGGCCUGCAAUCCAUCGCCUGGCUGCGCAACCUCCUCGACUUGUUCUUAUCCUGCGAGGCUGAGUUCAAAACCGUCCUCAUCGCCGGCCGGGAUCCAUCGCAAUUCUCCAAGCCGCCGCUCGACCGGCUGAUCCCGGACCUUCUAGAACGUUCCGUGAAAGCGCUGGACGUCUGCAACGCAAUUACCCACGGAAUUGAUCUUAUUCAGCACUGGCAGAAGCUCGCCCAAAUCGUCGUGACGGCGCUCCGCCAGUCGCCGGUCGGCGAGGGCCAAAUCCGCCGCGCGCAGAAGGCGCUGACGACGCUGCUGACGUCGAUGUUCUUCGACGACAAGGAGAACACCAACGCCAAUUUCCAUUUAAAAUGGACCGACCGCACGCGCUCCUUCGGCCGCCGCUUCAGCGGCGCCGCCGCAUUGCACGGCAAGGACCGGAGCUCCGGCAACAACUUCCGGUCAUUCUCGUGGUCCGUCGCGAAGUCCUGGUCGGCCGCGAAACAGAUACAGAACAUGACAACCAAUCUCGUCGCGCCACGUGGCGCAGACGCCUCCGGGCCGGCCGUGCCGGUCUACAUAAUGAAUACAAUACUCGUAUUUGUAAUGUGGGCCUUAGUGGCGGCCAUUCCGUGCCAAGAGCGUAAUGGGCUUUCGACCCAUUUUCAGACCCCACGGCAAUUGGGCUGGGCCCAGCCCAUAAUCUCCCUGCAAGAUAAAAUUGGGGAAGACUGGAAGAAGAAGGAGAAGAAGGGGACAUUAGGGUUGUUGGAGGAGCUGCAGAAGAUGGAGAAAGUGGCGAACAGUCUAGCCGAAUUCACGUGCUCGUUCGGUUCGCCGUUGGACAACGAGAAGGCGGCGGAGGUGGAGGCGCAGGUGGCGGAGAUGGAGGAGAUUUGCCGGAGAAUGGAGGAGGGGCUGGCGCCGUUGCAGCAGCAGGUCAGGGAAGUUUUCCAUCGGAUUGUCCGGAGCAGAUCGGAGAUUCUCGACGUCGUCGACCAAAUUACGAAGAUUUCAGCGCCGGCGCCGGUGUCCUUUUAAUCCAAAGUUGGACAUUUCUUCCGUCUGAGAUAUAUGGCUGUACAAUUUUGCCUGAUAUAAAUCGAUGGAUAGAAAUGAUGUAGGCCAGUUGCUGGAAAGUGGGCCUCAAUUACGGUAGGCCCAAGCCUAUUAGUAGUGGGCUUUUCAUCAAACAAAAUCUAAUAUAAACAAGAAAUUAAAUAUUUUAUUAUUCUAAUUUGUGUUGGAGAAGGAAAGCUAACUUCAACAAUUGGAACAAAAUUACAAAUUUAAAUUUCCUGAGAAGCCGAAAAUAAAGACUAAUUAGCCUUUU